GAUGGGGCAACGGCAUUGUACAUAAGUGCUCAAAAUGGUCAUACAGAUGCUUGUAAACUUCUUAUUCAAUCAGGAGCCAACAAGGAUAUUCAGGCGGAAAAUGGGGCAACGGCAUUGCACAUAAGUGCUCAAAAUGGUCAUACAGAUGCUUGUAAACUUCUUAUUCAAUCAGGAGGCAACAAGGAUAUUCAAAUGAAAAAUGGGGCAACGGCAUUGUACAUAAGUGCUCAAAAUGGUCAUACAGAUGCUUGUAAACUUCUUAUUCAAUCAGGAGCCAACAAGGAUAUUCAGGCGGAAG